rnacentral:rRNA from 1 species
CCUACGGGGGGCUGCAGUGAGGAAUAUUGGUCAAUGGACGAGAGUCUGAACCAGCCAAGUAGCGUGAAGGAUGACUGCCCUAUGGGUUGUAAACUUCUUUUAUAUGGGAAUAAAAUGUUCCACGUGUGGGAUUUUGUAUGUACCAUAUGAAUAAGGAUCGGCUAACUCCGUGCCAGCAGCCGCGGUAAUACGGAGGAUCCGAGCGUUAUCCGGAUUUAUUGGGUUUAAGGGGAGCGUAGGUGGAUUGUUAAGUCAGUUGUGAAAGUUUGCGGCUCAACCGUAAAAUUGCAGUUGAAACUGGCAGUCUUGAGUACAGUAGAGGUGAGCGGAAUUCGUGGUGUAGCGGUGAAAUGCUUAGAUAUCACGAAGAACUCCGAUUGCGAAGGCAGUUCACUGGACUGCAACUGACACUGAGGCUCGAAAGUGUGGGUAUCAAACAGGAUUAGAUACCCUUGUAGUC